rnacentral:rRNA from 1 species
CUACGGGGGGCAGCAGUGAGGAAUAUUGCACAAUGGGGGGAACCCUGAUGCAGCAACGCCGCGUGGAGGAUGACGCAUUUCGGUGUGUAAACCCCUUUUAUAUGUCAAGAAAAUGACGGUAGCAUAUGAAUAAGCACCGGCUAACUCCGUGCCAGCAGCCGCGGUAAUACGGAGGGUGCAAGCGUUACUCGGAAUCACUGGGCGUAAAGGACGCGUAGGCGGGUUGGAAAGUCAGGUGUGAAAUCCUACAGCUUAACUGUAGAACGGCACUUGAAACUUCUAAUCUAGAGUAUGGGAGGGGGAGAUGGAAUUAGUGGUGUAGGGGUAAAAUCCGUAGAUAUCACUAGGAAUACCUAAAGCGAAGGCGAUCUCCUGGAACAUUACUGACGCUAAGGCGUGAAAGCGUGGGGAGCAAACAGGAUUAGAUACCCUUGUAGUC